CAGCAGCCGCGGUAAUACGUAGGGUCCGAGCGUUGUCCGGAAUUAUUGGGCGUAAAGAGCUCGUAGGCGGUCUGUCGCGUCUGCCGUGAAAUCCUCAGGCUCAACCUGAGGCGUGCGGUGGGUACGGGCAGGCUAGAGUGCGGUAGGGGAGAAUGGAACUCCUGGUGUAGCGGUGGAAUGCGCAGAUAUCAGGAAGAACACCGAUGGCGAAGGCAGUUCUCUGGGCCGUAACUGACGCUGAGGAGCGAAAGCGUGGGGAGCGAACAGGAUUAGAGACCCCGGUAGUCCCUGUCUCUUAUAC
rnacentral:rRNA from 1 species